UUUUUUCAACUCCGAGGCUGUGGAUAAAAUCUCAGCUGGACUGAGGCUCUUCAAACUCAAGAUGUCUCCCGAAAGAGUGUACAUGCUGAUAAACAACUGCUGUUUAUGGAAUGAAUUGACGCGCUGCACAGUCCGGAACUGAUCAGUGCAAGGGAGCCGGACACCGGGCAAUCUAGUGGGAGUGUGUCGGGGGGCUGAGACAACUUCUAGGGAUCGAUGUUUUCGCUGCAUGUAGGAGACGCAAGUAAAAUCAGAGGUUUCCCUUUGGAUUACAAGUUAGGAACCUUGUACCCAAUGACAGUUGAAAAAGAAGGAGGAAUAGAGUCCUGUGUGCUCACGUUGGUAAAGUAUGACAUUCUUCAUAAGUCACACUGGGGCAAAACUGCACCUGGGCAGUAACCCAUAACAACCAGAAAGUCAUUACAUGUUUUUAAGCCAGCUGCAGGCUGAACAUAGAAAGAAAACAUUUGAUUGGUUGUCAUGGGUUACUGGCCAGGUGCAAUUUUGCCCAGUGUUUAUAAAUUACCCCCUCUGAGUAGUUAAGAAACUCUAAUGAUAUCUUAUAGGGCAUAGUUGUGCUUCUAACACGCUGGCACCAACGGGCUAUGAGUUUUGAAAUACAAACUACACAUGUCAUAGGCUGCUACUAUCCUAAUGCCAAGGAAUUGAGUGGCAUAUAAUAUUUGCCUCUAAUUAGCCUAAAAGCCUGAGCCUCUGUAUGAAUUUUCUUAUAGUGUCUAUUAAUUAAAUCUUUUUAGUGUGAAUUGAUUACGUGUAACGAAUUGUCCAAUAUUCGUAUCUUGUAAGUCUUUGAUUUAUAUUCAUGAAUUGUUACUUUUGAAUUAAGGUUUUUAAUGUGUGAUUAUAAAUGAAUAUUUGAUGUGCUCUUGCUUGCUUGGGUUUUCCACUGAGAAAUAAAUAACUUUUUGACUAUUUAUACAACUGAAUGUGGAUUAAGAGUCUGAGCUUUCUUUAAAAUUGAAUAAAUGUGAUUAAUUUUUGUGAUUAGUUUAAGUGGCUAAACUGAGCUAAAUAUUAGCAGGAGUGUAUUCAUGUCACAAAUAAUGUAUUAAAUAAUAAUGUAUUAAAUAAUUAUGUAU